GAUGAACGCUGGCGGCGUGCUUAACACAUGCAAGUCGAACGGUAAGGCCCCCUUCGGGGGGUACACGAGUGGCGAACGGGUGAGUAACACGUGGGGAACCUGCCCCUCUCUCUGGGAUAACUCCGGGAAACCGGUGCUAAUACCGGAUACUCCGAUCAGGUCGCAUGGCCAGAGCGGGAAGGCUCCGGCGGUGAGGGAUGGUCCCGCGGCCCAUUAGCUUGUUGGUGAGGUAACGGCUCACCAAGGCCGCGAUGGGUAGCCGAGCUGAGAGGCUGAUCGGCCACACUGGGACUGAGACACGGCCCAGACUCCUACGGGAGGCAGCAGUGGGGAAUCUUGCGCAAUGGGCGAAAGCCUGACGCAGCAACGCCGCGUGCGGGAUGAAGGCCUUCGGGUCGUAAACCGCUUUCAGCAGGGAUGAAACUGACAGUACCUGCAGAAGAAGCCCCGGCUAACUACGUGCCAGCCGCCGCGGUAAAAC
rnacentral:rRNA from 1 species